CCGCCCGGGUACUACAAGCUAAAGCUUAAAACCCAAAGGACUUGACGGUGCCCCACAUCCACCUAGAGGAGCCUGUCCUAUAAUCGAUGAUCCACGUUUAACCUCACCACUUCUAGCCUCCCAGCCUGUAUACCUCCGUCGCCAGCUCACCGCAUGAGCGCCUAAUAGUGAGCAAGAUGGCCCUUUCGCCAAAACGUCAGGUCAAGGUGCAGCUAAUGAAGCGGGCAGAGAUGGGCUACAUUUUCUACUCUAGAAAACCACGAAAGACUGCGUGAAACCCCGUCAGAAGGAGGAUUUAGUAGUAAAGCAGAGAUCAAUGAGCUCUCUUUAACAAGGCACAGGGGCAUGU
rnacentral:rRNA from 1 species